GGGCUAUCAACAAUCCUACUAGUAGCUCUCAAGGUGCAAGGGCACAUAAAAGAUCUAGAAUUGCCCUUGGAGAGCAAUUUCACUCCUCCCAAUUAGUCCAAACACUUUUAGGAGUGGUGCAAGAGUAAAUUGCUACACAAACUGAUAUGAGAAAGAUGAUAGAACUAUAGAAUCAAUGGCGCAAUAAUUUAUGCAACAACAAAGGCAGCAUCA
rnacentral:lncRNA from 1 species